ensembl:lncRNA
AAAAGAGAAAAGACAUCUCUUUGGGGUGGAAUUGGAGAGCACAAUGGGACAAGCAAAUGAAAUUCUCCGUCAAGAAGACUGAGGCUCUGAGACAUUGAGAAGAUGUUGGGAGCACGGGAGUUACAUUAUGGACAGCUCUUAAGAUUUCAGAAGAAGCCUAACAGCAGAGGCCAUGAGAAGCAAGACUGGCCUUAUCACAAUGCCGGAUACCAAGGACUGGGUUCAUGACCUGCUAACAGGGACCUGGGAUGCUUUCCUGUUCCAUUAAUGUAUGCCAAUGAUUCUACUUUUUAAACUUCCUUACAAUCUGGAGAAACCAUAAAUGAACAGUUUUUUCAAAGUUACUUUUCCUAGCUCACAUUCAUUCUCCUCUCAUCCAGGUGUGACAGUAAAAUGGGGGAAACAAUGGAUAGGUACCAGGACCUGCACAUUUCCUUGGCCCGCCUGUGUCUUGA